GACGAACGCUGGCGGCGUGCUUAACACAUGCAAGUCGUACGGUAAAGCCCUUUCGGGGGUACACGUGUGUCGAACGCGUGAGUAUAACGUCCGUGACCUGCCCCCGACUUUGGGAUAACGCUAGGAAACUGGUGCUAAUUCUCGCAAUGUUCUCCUACUGCAUAGUGGGGGUUUGACAUCUCCCGCGGUUGUGGAUGGACUCACGGCCUAUCACCUUGUUGGUGGGGUAGUCGACUACCAAGGCGGCGACCGGUAGCCGGCCUGAGAGGGUGACCGGCCACCUUGGGACUGAGAGACGGCCCAGACUGCUACGGGAGGCAGCAGUGGGGAAUAUUGCCCAAGGGGCGCAAGCCAGAUGCAGAAGCGCCGCGUGCGGGAUGACGGGUUUCGGGUGGUAAACGGCUUUCAGCAGGGAAGAAGCUUUUUGUGACGGUACCUGCAGAAUAAGCACCGGCUAACUACGUG
rnacentral:rRNA from 1 species